rnacentral:rRNA from 1 species
GUUAAAAAGCUCGUAGUUGGAUUUCUGUUGUGGUGAGUCGGCCGGCUCUUCGGAGUUGUAGCUAGAUUUCAUUGCAGCAUCUUGUCGUAAUCUCCACUGGCAUUCAUUUGUUGGUGUGAGGGACCGACUCGUUUACUUUGAGAAAAUUAGGAUGUUCAAAGUGGGCUAUCGCCUUGAAUAUAUUAGCAUGGAAUAAUAAUAUAGGACUUUUGGUUCUAUUUUGUUGGUGUUCGAGAACCAAAGUAAUGAUUGAUAGGGACGGUUGGGGGCAUCAGUAUUCUGAAGCGAGAGGUGAAAUUCUUGGACCUUCGGAAGACUAACAGCUGCGAAAGCGUUUGCCUAGGAUGUUCUCUUUAAUCAAGAACGAAGGUUGGGGGAUCGAAGACGAUCAGAUACCGUCGUAGUCUCAACUAUAAACUAUGCCAGCUAGGGAUGGGUGGAUGUUUAAUUACGACUCCAUCCGCACCUUAUGAGAAAUCAAAGCAUUUGGGUUCCGGGGGGAGUAUGGUCGCAAGGCUGAAACUUAAAGGAAUUGACGGGAGGGCACCACCAGGAGUGGAGCCCGUGGCUUAAUUUGACUC